AUGCUGGAGUAACUCAGCGGGUCGGGCAGCAUCUCUGGAGAGAAGGAAUGGAUGACGUUUUAGGUCGAGACCCUUCUGCAUACUGAUUUCAGGGGAGAGGGCGAUACAUGGAUGAGAAAGUG